GGCCAAUCAGCAUCUACCUCUGC
rnacentral:siRNA from 1 species